AGACGGGCCCCGCACAAGCAGCGGAGCGUGUGGUUUAAUUCGAUGCUACACGAAGAACCUUACCAGGGUUUGACAUGCAAGUGGUAGGAAACCGAAAGGUGACCGACCCUUCGGGGAGCUUGCACAGGUGCCGCAUGGCUGUCGUCAGCUCGUGUCGUGAGAUGUUCGGUUAAGUCCGCUAACGAGCGCAACCCUCGCUGUGUGUUAUAUGUGUCACACGGGACUGCCGGUCUUAAGCCGGAGGAAGGUGGGGAUGAUGUCAAGUCAGCAUGGCCUUUAUAUCCUGGGCUACACACACGCUACAAUGGCCAGCACAGUAGGUUGCUAAGCCGCGAGGUGGAGCCAAUCCAUAAAGCUGGCCUCAGUUCAGAUUGCAGGCUGCAACCCGCCUGCAUGAAGAUGGAGUUGCUAGUAACCGCGCGUCAGCUAUAGUGCGGUGAAUACGUUCCCGGGCCUU
rnacentral:rRNA from 1 species